AGCAGCGUGGCUUAGUGGCAAAAGCCUGAGCUUGGGAGUUAGAGGACAUGGGUUCUAAUCCCACCUCCGCCA
rfam:Ornithorhynchus anatinus chromosome 10, whole genome shotgun sequence.